rnacentral:rRNA from 1 species
UACGGAGGGGCGAGCGUUAUUCGGAAUUAUUGGGCGUAAAGGGCGCGUAGGCGGUCUGACAAGUGGAAGGUGAAAUCCCCGGGCUCAACCUGGGAACUGCCUUCCAAACUGUUUGACUUGAGUCCGGGAGAGGUGAGUGGAAUUCCCAGUGUAGCGGUGAAAUGCGUAGAUAUUGGGAGGAACACCAGUGGCGAAGGCGGCUCACUGGACCGGAACUGACGCUGAGGCGCGAAAGCGUGGGGAGCAAACAGG